rnacentral:rRNA from 1 species
UACGUAGGGGGGCAAGCGUUGUCCGGAUUUAUUGGGCGUAAAGAGCGUGUAGGCGGCCGUACAGGUCAGCUGUGAAAACUCGAGGCUCAACCUCGAGACGUCGGUUGAAACCGUACGGCUAGAGUCCGGAAGAGGAGAGUGGAAUUCCCGGUGUAGCGGUGAAAUGCGCAGAUAUCGGGAAGAACACCCCGUGGCGAAGGCGGCUCUCUGGGACGGUACUGACGCUGAGACGCGAAAGCGUGGGGAGCGAACAGG